rnacentral:rRNA from 1 species
UACGUAGGGUGCGAGCGUUAAUCGGAAUUACUGGGCGUAAAGCGCACGUAGGCGGCUUUGUAAGUUUGAGGUGAAAGCCCGGGGCUCAACUCCGGAAUUGCCUUUAAGACUGCAUCGCUAGAAUUGUGGAGAGGUAAGUGGAAUUCCGAGUGUAGAGGUGAAAUUCGUAGAUAUUCGGAAGAACACCAGUGGCGAAGGCGACUUACUGGACACAUAUUGACGCUGAGGUGCGAAAGCGUGGGGAGCAAACAGG